GCAUAGUAGAAGUUAGAGAACAAUUUAUCCAGUAACAAGUGUAACAACAAACGACUUUAAAAGACUCUGAGAAAGCCUUUAAGAACUUUGGCCAUUGCAAAAGCUACCUAUGAUUUCUGUGGACUGAUGAAGAAACAUGUUACCCACCACCUGCCAGAGAGGUGAUGGACUCAGGAUUGGUUGUGGAGAUGCAAACUGGAAUAUGAAUGCCUGCAGUCCUGGAUAAUUGCGUUCUGACCACCAGAAUCCCUCCCACCACACUUCCCCCCCACUUUCCUCCUCCUCUUUUCCCCUUCCCAGUCUUGGUUUCAAUUGGACACAUUCUUCUUUACUUUCUGCCUGAUACUGUGUGGUCACCAACCUGGCAGCCCCAUUCCUGCUGGGGAGGGGAGAAUGGGCAUCGCCUCGGGUGGAGUGGGGAAGAGGAUCCAGACAUGAUUUCAUCAGUCUAAGGAACACUGGUAUGUGAUUAACAGUCUCAGAGAAUUGCCUGGGGGCUUUGAGUGGAUAAGGAACUUGUCCGUGGUCAGGAAUCCAGUAUUUGUCAGGGAUUCUAAUAAGAAACCUCAAGGAAAUGGUCUCAUUUAUUGAUAUUGUCAGUGGUCUCCCAAUGAUGAAGUGGCACUUGGUCUAGGGUCAACCUUCAGCAAACUGGAAUCUACUUGGAAGUUGUUCAGAUACAGAUUUUGUUAACAGGAUGCCAACUCCUUCUGUAAAGCUAGAAGAAUGCUACUCACUAUAGCUGACCUAACCAUGGGCCCCAGUCCAUGUCUUGCCACCAGGAUCUCUUGCCUUCUAAGGUCCUCUUUAUGUUGGAGUGCCAUUAAUCUCUUUUCCUAUGUCUUUCACCAUAUUAUAGUCCUGAGGGGUCAAAUAUACCACCUGCUGGCCAACCUGCAACAAUCCCAAGUAUGCCCACACCAUUUCUUUUGCUUUUUAG